rnacentral:lncRNA from 1 species
GUUGAAGUUUUAAUUAAUUUAAUUCAGCUAUCUGAUGAAGAGUCCAAUAUGGAUUAAACUCUCCCUCUCCAUGUGCAUAAGAAAGCCCCAUGCCCAACCAGAUUGUAUGCCAUAUUUUUUCAUGCCCCCUCUCUAUUUUUAGCAUGUAAGAAGGAGUCUUAAAAUCCUUUUCUUCUGUGUGAAACCUGGGUGCAAAAAAUUUUGGUGG